AACUACGUGCCAGCAGCCGCGGUAAUACGUAGGUGGCAAGCGUUAUCCGGAUUUAUUGGGCGUAAAGCGAGCGCAGGCGGUUUUUUAAGUCUGAUGUGAAAGCCCUCGGCUUAACCGAGGAAGCGCAUCGGAAACUGGGAAACUUGAGUGCAGAAGAGGACAGUGGAACUCCAUGUGUAGCGGUGAAAUGCGUAGAUAUAUGGAAGAACACCAGUGGCGAAGGCGGCUGUCUGGUCUGUAACUGACGCUGAGGCUCGAAAGCAUGGGUAGCGAACAGGAUUAGAUACCCUGGUAGUCCAUGCCGUAAACGAUGAAUGCUAGGUGUUGGAGGGUUUCCGCCCUUCAGUGCCGCAGCUAACGCAUUAAGCAUUCCGCCUGGGGAGUACGACCGCAAGGUUGAAACUCAAAGGAAUUGACGGGGGCCCGCACAAGCGGUGGAGCAUGUGGUUUAAUUCGAAGCAACGCGAAGAACCUUACCAGGUCUUGACAUCUUUUGAUCACCUGAGAGAUCAGGUUUCCCCUUCGGGGGCAAAAUGACAGGUGGUGCAUGGUUGUCGUCAGCUCGUGUCGUGAGAUGUUGGGUUAAGUCCCGCAACGAGCGCAACCCUUAUGACUAGUUGCCAGCAUUUAGUUGGGCACUCUAGUAAGACUGCCGGUGACAAACCGGAGGAAGGUGGGGAUGACGUCAAAUCAUCAUGCCCCUUAUGACCUGGGCUACACACGUGCUACAAUGGAUGGUACAACGAGUUGCGAGACCGCGAGGUCAAGCUAAUCUCUUAAAGCCAUUCUCAGUUCGGACUGUAGGCUGCAACUCGCCUACACGAAGUCGGAAUCGCUAGUAAUCGCGGAUCAGCACGCCGCGGUGAAUACGUUCCCGGGCCUUGUACACACCGCCCGUCACACCAUGAGAGUUUGUAACACCCGAAGCCGGUGGCGUAACCCUUUAGGGAGCGAGCCGUCUAAGUGACAAGUG
rnacentral:rRNA from 1 species